rnacentral:rRNA from 1 species
GUGGGGAAUAUUGGACAAUGGGCGAAAGCCUGAUCCAGCAAUGCCGCGUGAGUGAUGAAGGCCUUAGGGUUGUAAAGCUCUUUUACCCGGGAAGAUAAUGACUGUACCGGGAGAAUAAGCCCCGGCUAACUCCGUGCCAGCAGCCGCGGUAAUACGGAGGGGGCUAGCGUUGUUCGGAAUUACUGGGCGUAAAGCGCACGUAGGCGGUUUUGUAAGUUAGAGGUGAAAGCCUGGGGCUCAACCCCAGAAUUGCCUUUAAGACUGCAUCACUUGAACGUCGGAGAGGUGAGUGGAAUUCCGAGUGUAGAGGUGAAAUUCGUAGAUAUUCGGAAGAACACCAGUGGCGAAGGCGGCUCACUGGACGACUGUUGACGCUGAGGUGCGAAAGCGUGGGGAGCAAACAGGAUUAGAUACCCGAGUAGUCC